rnacentral:lncRNA from 1 species
GAUGUUUAUCGAGCGGGUCAUUGUGUGCCACAUGGGUUGGUUAUCCUCUUAAUCAAGGAGUAUGGUAAUACUAAUAUGACAUAUAGGUGAGAUGUAGGAGUACAUCGUCACUGAAUAGGUGACUCACCUGCUGAGCGUUCUACUGUCAAGAGCUUGUUGGGAUGCGGAAGCGAUUUCAUGCAUGUAUUUCGAAAUUUUUUUGAAAAAAUUACAGUGAAAGAUAACUAGAUUAAUCAAAUUAAUGUUACAUGCAUAUGAUCUAAUCAUCAAAUUAACCUAUUCUAGGAUCUAUG